CCUACGGGAGGCUGCAGUGAGGAAUAUUGGUCAAUGGUCGGGAGACUGAACCAGCCAAGCCGCGUGAGGGAGGAAGGUACAGAGUAUCGUAAACCUCUUUUGUCAGGGAACAAAGGCGGGGACGUGUCCCCGGAUGAGUGUACCUGAAGAAAAAGCAUCGGCUAACUCCGUGCCAGCAGCCGCGGUAAUACGGAGGAUGCGAGCGUUAUCCGGAUUUAUUGGGUUUAAAGGGUGCGCAGGCGGUCUGUUAAGUCAGCGGUCAAAGCCCGGGGCUCAACCCCGGCCCGCCGUUGAAACUGGCAGUCGCGAGUUGGAGAGAAGUAUGCGGAAUGCGCGGUGUAGCGGUGAAAUGCAUAGAGAUCGCGCAGAACUCCGAGUGCGAAGGCAGCAUGCCGGCUCCACACUGACGCUGAGGCACGAAAGCGUGGGUAUCGAACAGGAUUAGAUACCCGUGUAGUC
rnacentral:rRNA from 1 species